AGAUUGAACUGAAGAGUUUGAUCCUGGCUCAGAUUGAACGCUGGCGGCAUGCUUUACACAUGCAAGUCGAACGGUAACAGGGUGCUUGCACCGCUGACGAGUGGCGAACGGGUGAGUAACGCAUCGGAAUGUACCGUGUAAUGGGGGAUAGCUCGGCGAAAGCCGGAUUAAUACCGCAUACGCCCUGAGGGGGAAAGUGGGGGACCGUAAGGCCUCACGUUAUACGAGCAGCCGAUGUCUGAUUAGCUAGUUGGUGAGGUAAGAGCUCACCAAGGCGACGAUCAGUAGCGGGUCUGAGAGGAUGAUCCGCCACACUGGGACUGAGACACGGCCCAGACUC
rnacentral:rRNA from 1 species